UUUAACAUCAUCGUUUUUUUCCUUCAUUGUUUCUGAAGAAACGAUCGGAAAUUUAAAAGACGAUAAAAGAUUCUCUCUCAAACGAGUUGCCCUCGAUUUGCUCCUCGGUUUUUUAGCCACAGGAUUAGGGAAAAUAGUAGACAAAGGCAGAAGAAACCUACCAUAAGAAUUCAUCGGAUGCUUUCCUCCACGGCAAUUUGGACGCUCCAUUGAAAGAUUUUAGGUUAGACCAGAAGCUAUUGUUUUCAAGGUGCAGCCCUCUUGGUGCAGGGCUUGGGAUAACUUGUGAGGGAAAACCCAAUGGAAGUCACAUGUAAAUAGCCCCAAAUCCAAAGCCUUGAAAGGAAAGUGGUUUUCUUUCCAGUACUGUCAUUAAUUCUACACCACUAAUCCUCUUAUAAUAAUUUCUAUUACAUAUCCUGCCAAAAACGCCAGAUUCUGCACCCAAAAUGGCCUCUCAGCAAUAAGAGCCAAGUAAAUCUGCAUUUUGGAUUUUGACCUGCCC
rnacentral:lncRNA from 1 species